AUUGAACGCUGGCGGCAGGCCUAACACAUGCAAGUCGAGCGGAGCGGCGGACGAGUACGUAAUGCCUAGGAAUUUGCACGGUAGUGGGGUAUAAAGCCCGGAACUGGAAGCUAUUACCGCAUACUCUAAGAUGAGCCUAGGUCGGAUUAGCUAGUUGGUGGGGUAACGGCCUACCAAGGCGACGAUCCGUAACUGGUCUGAGAGGAUGAUCAGUCACACUGGGACUGAGACACGGUCCAGACUCCUACGGGAGGCAGCAGUGGGGAAUAUUGGACAAUGGGCGAAAGCCUGAUCCAGCCAUGCCGCGUGUGUGAAGAAGGUCUUCGGAUUGUAAAGCACGUUAAGUUGGGAGGCGUUACCAACAGAAUAAGCACCGGCUAACUCCGUGCCAGCCGCCGCGGUAAUAC
rnacentral:rRNA from 1 species